rnacentral:rRNA from 1 species
UUUUACAAACAAAAUUAUUAUCUAAAAAAUUUUCAUUAUAAAAAAAAUUAUUUUAAAAAAAUUUGUUAAAUAAAAAAAUUAAAUAAUUAACUUAAUAAAAAUUUUUAAAAAUUUUUUUUAAAAAAAAAAAAGAAAAAUUAAUUUUUUUUUACUUUUGUAUCAGUAUAAAUUUAAAAUUUUAACCUAUAACUUUAAAUCUCGAAAUAAAAAAAUUUAAGUAAAUACAUAAAUUAAUAUAACAAUAUUAUUAAAAAUAUUUACUUAGAAACUAAAUAUUAAACAAUUUUUAUUAUAUCUAGUUAUUUAAUAAAAAAAUUUAAUUUAAUUAUAAAUAAAAUUUAAAUUAAUUAUAAAAUUUAAAUAAAAUUUAUAAAAAAAAUUUAAGGGAUAAACUUUAAAUUUAAUUUUAAAAUAUCUAUUAAAAUUUUAAUAAUUAUAAAAAUAAAAAUAAUUAAUAAUUAUAAAAAUAUAAUAAUUUAUAAUCUUUUUUAAAAAAUUUUUUUUCUAUUUAAUUUUAUAUUAAAUUAUUAUAUAAAAUAUUAUAAUAUAAAAAAUUAUAAUUUAAUUAGUAAACAUAAUUUUUUAAUAAAAUAAUUUAUAUAAAUUAAAUAUUUAAUUAAUGAACUAAGCAAUUAAUAUGCCCAUCUGUUUAACAAAAACAUAUUUUAAAGAAUAUUAAUUUUAAAUCAAAUCUGCCCAAUGAUUAUUAUUAAAUGGCUGCAGAAUCACUAACUGUACAAAGGUAGCAUAAUAAUUUGGUUUCUAAUUAAAACCUUGAAUGAACGAUUUAAUGAGGUAUAAACUUUAUAAAUAAAAUAAAUUUAAAUUUUUAUUUAAGUAAAAAAACUUAAAUUUAUAAAAAAGACGACAAGACCCUAUAGAAUUUUAUUUAUUUAAAAAUUAAAUUUAAUUUAUAAUAAUUUUUAAAUAAAUUUUAUUGGGGUAAUAAAAAAAUUUAACAAAUUUUUUUAAAAAUAAACAAUAAUUAUUGAAAAAAAAUCUUAAAAUUUAAAUCAAUAAAAUUAAUUACCUUAGGGAUAACAGCAUAAUUUUUUUUAAAAGAUCUUAUUAAUAAAAAAGAUUAUGACCUCGAUGUUGAAUUAAGAUAAAAAAUAAAUGAAAAAUUUUAUAAAUUUAAGUCUGUUCGACUUUUAAAAUCUUACAUGAUUUGAGUUAAGAUCGGCGUAAGCCAGAUCAGAUUCUAUCUUUUUAUAAAAUUAUUUAAUUGUACGAAAGGAAUUUAUAUAAAUAAUAAUUAUUAAAAAAUAAUUAAUAAACUAAA